rnacentral:rRNA from 1 species
GGUGUUGCAUGGCUGUCGCCAGCUCGUGUCGUGAGAUGUUGGGUUAAGUCCCGCAACGAGCGCAACCCUCAUCCUUAGUUACCAUCAGGUAAUGCUGGGGACUUUAAGGAAACUGCCAGUGAUAAACUGGAGGAAGGUGGGGAUGAUGUCAAGUCAUCAUGGCCCUUAUGGAGUGGGCUACACACGUGCUACAAUGGUGGCUACAAUGGGCUGCAAAGUCGCGAGGCUAAGCUAAUCCCUUAAAAGCCAUCUCAGUUCGGAUUGUACUCUGCAACUCGAGUGCAUGAAGUUGGAAUCGCUAGUAAUCGUGGAUCAGCACGCCACGGUGAAUACGUUCCCGGGUCUUGUACACAC